ACAACCAGGAUGUUGGCUCAGAAGCAGCCACUCAUUCAAAGAGUGCGUAAUAGCUCACUGGUCGAGUGAAGUUGCGCGGAAAAUUACCGGGGCUAAGCUAUACACCGAAAUUGCGGAUUUACAUUUGAAAGACAAUGUAAGUGGUAGAGGAGCAUUCUGUAGUAGGAAGAAGCAUGACCGUAAGGACAUGUGGACGAAGCAGAAGAGAGAAUGCUGGAAUAAGUAGCGAGAGCAAGGUGAGAAUCCUUGCCGUCGAAAAUCUAAGGUUUCCUGGGGAAGGUUCGUCCGCCCAGGGUAAGUCGGGACCUAAGGAGAGGCCGAAAGGCGUAUCUGAUGGAUAGCAGGUUGAAAUUCCUGCACUACGAAUAUACUUAAAAGAUUCAAGGGACGCAGAAGUGGAAGAUAACCAAGUAAGAGGAAAAGCUUGGCUCGCAAGAGGGAGUGAAAAUUAAAAGUAACGAAGUAUCAAGAAGCACGCUGACGAGAAAAGCUUGAAGAUAUUGUAUAUAAGUACCCGUACCGCAAACCGACACAGGUAGAUGAGGAGAGGAUCCUAAGACGAGCGGGAGAAGCAUUGUUAAGGAACUCGGCAAAUUAACCCCGUAACUUCGGAAUAAGGGGUGCUGAUGUAACAGUCAGUCGCAGAGAAAAGGCCCAAGCAACUGUUUAACAAAAACAUAGGUUUCUGCUAAAUCGAAAGAUGAAGUAUAGGAGCUGACGCCUGCCCAGUGCUGGAAGGUUAAGGGAAAGAGUUAGGGUUAAACCGAAGCUUAGAACUGAAGCCCCAGUGAACGGCGGCCGUAACUAUAACGGUCCUAAGGUAGCGAAAUUCCUUGUCAGGUAAGUUCUGACCCGCACGAAAGGCGUAAUGAUUUGGGCGCUGUCUCGACAAUGUCCCCGGCGAAAUUGUAGUACUAGUGAAGAUGCUAGUUACCUGCGAUAAGACAGAAAGACCCCAUGGAGCUUUACUGCAGUUUGAUACUGGGUUUCGAUGAUUUAUGUACAGGAUAGUUGGGAGACUAUGAAAGAGAGGCGUCAGCUUCUCCGGAGUCAUUGUUGGGAUACCAACCUUAAGUUAUUGAAAUUCUAACUUGUAAUCGUAAACCGGUUAGAGGACAAUGUCAGACGGGCAGUUUGACUGGGGCGGUCGCCUCCUAAAGAGUAACGGAGGCGCCCAAAGGUUUCCUCAGCGCGGACAGAAAUCGCGCAAAAGAGUGUAAAGGCAGAAGGAAGCUUAACUGAGAGACAGACAUGUCGACCAGAUACGAAAGUAGGGCUUAGUGAUCCGGUGGUUGUAAAUGGAAAUGCCAUCGCUCAACGGACAAAAGUUACCCUGGGGAUAACAGGCUUAUCUCCCCCAAGAGUUCACAUCGACGGGGAGGUUUGGCACCUCGAUGUCGGCUCAUCGCAUCCUGGAGCGGAAGUACGUUCCAAGGGUUGGGCUGUUCGCCCAUUAAAGCGGUACGCGAGCUGGGUUCAGAACGUCGUGAGACAGUUCGGUCCUUAUCU
rnacentral:rRNA from 1 species